GCAGUCGAACGGGAUCCAUGGUGCUUGCACCGUGGUGAGAGUGGCGAACGGGAGAGUAAUGCGUGACCAACCUGCCCCAUGUUCCGGAAUAGCUCCUGGAAACGGGUGGUAAUGCCGGAUGUUCCGCGUGAUCGCAUGUGAUCGCGGGAAAGGGUUACCGACAUGGGAUGGGGUCGCGUCCUAUCAGCUAGUUGGCGGGGUAGUGGCCCACCAAGGCUUUGACGGGUAGCCGGCCUGAGAGGGCGACCGGCCUCAUUGGGACUGAGAUACGGCCCAGACUCCUACGGGAGGCAGCAGUGGGGAAUAUUGCACAAUGGGGGGAACCCUGAUGCAGCGACGCCGCGUGCGGGAUGAAGGCCUUCGGGUUGUAAACCGCUUUUGUUGGGGAGCAAGCGAGAGUGAGUGUACCCUUCGAAUAAGCGCCGGCUAACUACGUGCCAGCAGCCGCGGUAAUACGUAGGGCGCAAGCGUUAUCCGGAUUUAUUGGGCGUAAAGAGCUCGUAGGCGGUUCGUCGCGUCUGGUGUGAAAGCCCAUCGCUUAACGAUGGGUCUGCGCCGGAUACGGGCGGGCUU
rnacentral:rRNA from 1 species